rnacentral:lncRNA from 1 species
AUGCGUAACAGGACUUUGAAUAUUCAGGAAUUGGAGGUUGUUUCUACUGCCAUGAUUGAAGGACCUUUUCCCCUACAUUAACAAAAGUCCACAUGCCCGACAAAAUAAUAACAGAUAAAAACAGAACCUGCUCUCAUAAAUGGCAAGCAGAAAUUGACAGAUUAGUGAACUUAGACCUGUAAAUGGCUUUCUUAAGUCCCUUGAUCAAUAGUUGAGUCCUUUUGGUUAUUGAAGCCGAGUAUGCCGAAUCUUACCCCACAACACCAAGUCACCAACUAUAAAAACCUACAAGAUUUCGUCAAUAAAGAAAUCAUCUAUCUAGACUUCUUAGAUAAUUCCCACGUUCUUUAAAAGCUUUUAUUUGAAAAAAAUCAAAUUUAGGUUCAUUACCUUGGUACCAAAUUACCAAUAGCUACAGCAACACAUCAUGUUCUGACUACGGUUGAAGAGAUCCUCAGAAAACGAAUGGUAGGGCUGUCAAUUAAAUUAUAUAAGAUUGAUGCGGUAAAGAAGUGAGACCAAGAAAAAACAAGUUAAAAAAAAUGAGUGAAUAACUCACAAUUGUUUUUUCUUUCAGUAGACAACUGAACUCUAUUUAUU